rnacentral:lncRNA from 1 species
AAUACAUCUCCCAUUACAUAACACAAUAACUCCUCUCAUGAAUACAUCUCCUUACACACAGGAAUAUAGCAAGAACGGACAAAAUUGCACGUUAGAACAAUGCCACAUCUGCUACUAUUCCAACAGUACAAUGUACUUCAUUCCACUCUCCUAUGAGACAUGCUCGAGAUGCGACAACUUGUCAUCCUACAAGAACAUUACACUGCACAUGAAUCAAUCAGAAGGAAAUAAAUAUAAAAAAUAUUAGAAAUAAAAAGAUUUGUGUUCAUCCUGUAGAUGAUGUAAAAAGAAAUGCGAACAAAAGUGAGAGAGACGUGCACUUAGUUUCCACUCCAUUUUCAUCCCUAGUGCUAGUGCAUCAUUAUUCUUAGAGGCUGUGUAAAUUAAAGCAGUGUGCAGUAUGUGUAAUAUGUACUUUAGGAACCUUCCGGCGUGCCGCAUCUCACUAAAUUAAAGCAGUGUGCAGUAUGUGUAAUAUGUGAUGUCAACAUACAUGGACAAAGAACAAGUAGCACCUAGAACUUAGAAGGAAGGUCAGAAUAUACAUACAUAGUAGAUGAGAAUAAUAUACGUACGAGGGAGAGAGGUUGGUCAAUCUACGCUUUCACUAUACGCAGACGCAGUAGCACUUCUAACUGAUGAGAUUAUUUUAACUAGCUACAGUCACAGCUUGCCACACAACGUGCUCAGUGAACAAGUGAGCGCUCUCGCAAAAAUCGAUGUAUGAUUACUCAAAAUCUCAAAUGAAAGGAUUCAAGCUUGCUUGCUGGUGCAGCCACAACAUCAACUCGAAAUCGAUGUUUGCCAAUUGGCUUAAACAUGAAACAUGCUAUAACUCAAACAUGAAACUUAGUACACAGAGUAAAUACAUGGUUGCCAAUUGGCUUGACAUAACUGCAGUAGAAGGUCAUAAAAAAUCAGAGGAUGCAGAUCACCACCAGUGCAAAGUUUAAUAAAAAAGGCAAUCCAGCACAGUUAAAAUGCCAAGAGAAAAAUGGCAGGGGGGCUAAUUAACCUGAUAUAGCUACAGUUCAUGAAAGGUGAAAAAGAAGUGUGGUGCUAGUGCUAGGUCAUUCCUCUUUAUGUCCAAAUUAAAAUAUGUGCAACCUCAAACGCCCUAUAGCCUCAGGCAGAGGUAAUAGUACACAGGCUGCACUGCACACAAGGACUGAGGUUGGCCCAAUCCAAGGAGCCGUCGGGUUGAAGGAAUCCAGCAAACGGCAGCAAACCUACUCCCACUACAACCCUAAAAUAUUGCAGACAUGGCAAACCACCCUUGAUUCAUGCAACCGGCACAGCGAACACCAGGGGCUGAGAUGGGCAUCCAUCCCUGCUUUCCACGGUGGGGAACAAUAAUGGGAGCCAGCCAGCCAGCCUUUCAUGGAUUGGAGCAAUCGCAUGGCAUCACAGGGAGUAAAGAAAUGGGGGUGAAAAAUUCCAGAGGCUGCGGUGCGGUAACUUGCACAGUUACAGAGCAGGGGCAUGUGGUGAUAAUGAGGCUUUAUUAUUAUUAUGAAUCUUUCCCCAAUGAGCGUAGUAGGCUGGUAGAUCCUGCUGUUGCAGGUGGAGUGGAGGAGGAAUGCAUUGAUGGAUGAGGAAGAACAAGGGCAGGAGGAGGAGGAUAAACGUUUGCUCGAAAAGAUGAGUGGCAUUGAAGCACUGCGCAGAUUUGUUUUUGCUAGAAACUUGCAACGGAUUGAUGGCGGAUUGGAGCACGGAUAUUGUACAUUGUACAGGCAGUACCGGUACCGGGAGGGGCAUUUUUUCGUGGACUUGUAGGCAGCAAGAACUUGCAAAAACUGUUAGUGAACUGAAUAGAGAGCACACUUUUUAUAGUCUGGGUUUUCAAGCUACCAUCAGCAUCAGCAUCGUGCAAGACCUACUUAAGCAAGAGCGGAAGAAGGUUUUCAAGCUACCAUCAGCAUCGUGCAAGACCGCCUCUCCAAAGUCCAGGAAGAACUACAGAUAGGUCUGGGUAGGAAACAGUAUAAUGCAGAUUAUUAGACAAUCUUUUAUUACUGUUGUAACUGAACUAUUUGUACAAAUCAGGAAACAAUAGUCAUCCAAUGUGAAUCACUCUACGCACAAUCAAUCAGGCAGAUACAAUUGAAGAACUGCAGAGUAAGUACAUUUGCCUUUCUGGAAUUAACAAUUAACUCUAGAUCAAGCUCUCUAAGCACUCAAAAGUUCCAACAGUAUUGCAUGAAAUUGCAAUGUACAAGCACGAAAAAGCUUCAGUGAAGACGCCUUAAGUUUGCAUUGGUUUAACAGUGGCAUACAGGCAUAUAUGAAACCCAACCACUGUCAGGAUUAUUAUAUCUUCACAUUAUAUCCAAAGCCAUUUGACUGGCCCACCACAUUUUCUUCAAAAGGCUCUCUUAUCCUAGAAAGUUACUGUUAUUUAAACUCAAGUGCAUCUAAUCAUAAAGGAUUUGUUCUUUAAAUUCAGGUUCAUGUCAUCACAACUAGUAUAGCAGUACAAGUUAAUCAUAAGACUUGACUAAUGUAUACUCUGCUUAUCAUAGAGACAUAGUGCAGAGCUAUAGAGGUAGUUUCUCGUUGCAGAUUCAAUCAAGGGAUCAUAAAAUUCUCUAAAAAAGAGAGACAAACCCACCCAGAAUACUCUUAAACUGCUCAGUUCAACAAGCAAUUCCAACCAAGUAUUUUACACCAUUGCAUGACUAAAUAUCAAACUAACUGAUAACGGGUUUUAUAGCUAAAUUAAGUUCACACAAGGAAAAAAUGACCCCUGUAAGCUAACCUGUACACCUUUUACUUGCAUCUCGUGAAUCAACCCCGUGAAAACACCUGCAAGGCAUAGGCUCUGGUAAAAAAAUAUGCAUAUGCGAUGUUCAAACGGUGACAAGAAGAUUGCAUCCCACUGUUAGUCUGAACAAAGAACAAAGACAUCAUACUAACAAGACAAAGAGCUCCCUGUGAUUGAUCCAUCAAGGAUGACAACUUAAGCACUAGUAUAACCAGCGAGGGAGGCGAACCUGCUUAGCAACACAGGCAGGACUGUCAGUACCCACUACUCAGAGUCAGAUGGUAUGAUACGGCGCGUCAGACGCCACAGACGUCACACCCCGUCCCCGUCGCACGACAGGUCCGACAUCUCACUCCUCCUC